UACGGAGGGUGCAAGCGUUAUCCGGAUUCACUGGGUUUAAAGGGUGCGUAGGUGGGUUGGUAAGUCAGUGGUGAAAUCUCCGGGCUUAACCUGGAAACUGCCAUUGAUACUAUCAAUCUUGAAUACCUUGGAGGUGAGCGGAAUAUGUCAUGUAGCGGUGAAUUGCUUAGAUAUGACAUAGAACACCAAUUGCGAAGGCAGCUCACUACACGGUCAUUGACACUGAGGCACGAAAGCGUGGGGAUCAAACAGG
rnacentral:rRNA from 1 species